UCAUUUUCAGCCGUUCAAAAACAUGUGUAAAUUUUUCAUUCGCAUCGAUAUGUAAAUAUUAUGUAGUUAUUUUAUGCGCGGUGAUCUCAGGGUGAAACCGGUGAAAAGCUAUAAACUGUUUUUUUGUGAUUUUUGCUUAGGUUUGACGACAUCCUCUUACUGUAGUACUCAUAAUUGCCUGCUUGUUAUGCUUACGAUUCAAUUUAAAAAACUUGCUCUAAGGGCGGAUCGUGGUGCGUCUUCGGUUCGGUCUUGUCAUCGAUUGAAAAAUGGUCAAAAAUGUGUAGUGCACGGCUGCAAAAGCCGCACCGGCUUUACGGUUUUAUUUUACGGAUUUCCAAAUGAUCCUGAAACGCUGGCAAUGUCAUGCCGGAAACAGCAUUGGAAAGUCGUGUCGAAAAACAUCGGAAACUACCGCUAGCUGCCACAAGAUGUGGGUCGUCCAUACUCGCCUCUCCACCGAAUGCUUAAAUGAAAUCGAUCGUCAGUCGCAUGAAGAAAAUGUGGAACCAUCGAUUGGAACCACGAACCCCUUCCAGUGCCAAAUCGUUGCCGAGUGAUAAAAGCGGAAGAUUGACUAGAAUUGAACUAUACGAGGAACAUCUGGGUUUCAUUGCCACCUCGCGGUGAAAUCAGAAAAGCGCUGGAAAAUUUCACUCACUCGUGUGUCCUGAGGCUGGCACGAGGGUAUUCCCGCCCUUUCAAAAACAAAGCCAAGCAAGUGUUGAGGAAACUCGUAACCUUAACUGCAAACCCAUGGCAUCAGCUGGUCGAUAAUCGUCUAUCCCGCGCAUCCCUGAAGGUGACCAACGCGUGUGCAAUUCGAUCCUAAUGGAGGCUCGCUACCAAGUGAUCAAAGAGCCGAUUGACACAACGGACGCGAAGCAGUACCGAGCGAAAGAAGCUGAAGACAAACCGGAAUUCAACUUAGGAACAGGAGAACAAUCUGGAUAUCAGUCUCAUUUCGCGGUGGAAAUAGAA